GUUUGAUCCUGGCUCAGAACGAACGCUGGCGGCAUGCCUAACACAUGCAAGUCGAACGAAGCCUUCGGGCUUAGUGGCGCACGGGUGCGUAACGCGUGGGAACCUACCAUCAGGUUCGGAAUAACAGUUAGAAAUGACUGCUAAUACCGGAUAAUGUCUUCGGACCAAAGAUUUAUCGCCUUUUGAUGGGCCCGCGUAAGAUUAGGUAGUUGGUGGGGUAAAGGCCUACCAAGCCGACGAUCUUUAGCUGGUCUGAGAGGAUGAUCAGCCACACUGGGACUGAGACACGGCCCAGACUCCUACGGGAGGCAGCAGUGGGGAAUAUUGGACAAUGGGCGAAAGCCUGAUCCAGCAAUGCCGCGUGAGUGAUGAAGGCCUUAGGGUUGUAAAGCUCUUUUACUGGGGAUGAUAAUGACAGUACCCAGAGAAUAAGCUCCGGCUAACUCCGUG
rnacentral:rRNA from 1 species